AUAUCUCAUACCUGUCAUGCAAAUUUUGAGAAGAUUGAAAUUUGAAUCAUCUCCAUAUGGGAGGUGCUAGCACAUGUCUCUGCACAUCCUCUCAAAAAUGGUGGAAAGCGUGAUUUGCUUGCCACUGGCUUUAACUACCAAAUCGGCGGUAGAAAUUAUAUCCGUCCAUGGUCACCACACAUCGUGCGCACAUUCACCUUCUAUCGAUUGAUGUCUCCUACAAUUAAUGCACUAAUGGGA
rnacentral:lncRNA from 1 species